GAACCGGAAGCUCUGUUGGUCAGUGGAUAAGAAAGUCAGAAACACCUGUGCGCACCUGGGUACUCGCCGUGUCCGCGGUACUGUAACGUUUGUGGAAUAAUUUGCUCGCCAUCUGCGGAGGUUGCCUCAAAUUUCUUUGGUAGUGUUCCUUUCUAAGUCAAAUUUAUUCUUGGACUUUCCAGCUUAGACGGAGCUAUCGCCGAGUCCUCUAACCUGACUGACAGACACUCUACAGUAAAGUUCUUCCAUCUUAUUGCAAUGACAAAGCAACCUUCAGAGGCUUUGAGUCAUCAGCAUGUGAUUUUCAGUGCCACAGCAGAGCAUCCAAUCACCAUCUGACUUAAAGUGGCAUGUCAAUCUGUAACAGACUUCUGCGAAGGAUACGAAGGAUGUAUCCUUGGUUACAGCUCUUCCAGUCAGCCACCUCACUCCUCAAAGCAGAAAUAAGAGCCUUUGGACAUCCUUCAUCAUGGCAGACCACGGCAACUUCUGGACCAAGAACUGAGGAAUGAUAAAAUAAGAGAACUGGGAUUCAGCAAAUGUCACUCCUCAUGGCUGCAUCUGUGCCUAGCAUAUCUGAGUUUGUGUACUGAAAACGGCUACCUGCGGGGUUUUUAUUAGUACAGUAGGGCGAUGAAAGCUAUGAAACUCAACCACAUUGAACCAGUGCAUUUCACUGAGGGAGUGUUUUAAAUCUAGGAGCAGAGCAACACAAGUGGAAAGCUGUCUGACCGUCUCUGCAUUAGAAAGCUGUUACUUGACAUUGAAUUGCUUUUUUUUUUUUUUUUUUCUCUCUCUGUUGGGGAUGCUACACAUUACUUCUGUUUUAACUUUUUCUACAUUAUAAUAUAUUGGUUACAUUUAUGUGAGUUAUGUUGGUCUAUACAAACUAUCUCUGAAAAGGUGACAAACAUCCUCCACCUCAGUAUUUUAUCCAACACCACAGCUUAAAACCAAUGACCAUGAUUUGCAGCAGCCUACUGAUAGUGUUGUUUUCAUCUUCACCAGGUUGACAAUGAGGAUAAAAUGUCACAUUUCAACAUGUUGUCUCAGAUGUUUUCGAGACAGGUUUAUGUGCUAUGGCAGCGAGGACAACAGGCCGUAUGCAUCACACUCACUGGAACACACAAUUAAUUGAAUGUGGCAGUGUGAUUACUGUACAGCUCCUCUCUGCCCGAUUCAAUUCCCAAACAGGAGAUAACAAGAUAGUGGAUGGCAGUAUAUCCUACACAAAGUCUAUGUGCUAAUGCAGGCUGUGUUUUCCAUUUGAUAUGCAGCUGUCUCCAGGCCUGCUAUUUCUGCUGUCAGAAGUGAAAAGAGAAUGGAGUGAGAUGAAAAAGGCCAGUUCACAGCAGGAGGACUCGAGCAACAAUAAGCUCACCCACCCCGACAAAACCGAUCAUUCGCUAAAAUAAACUUUGCCAUUUUAUAUUACGGUUUUUCUGUUUUUGACCAAUGGGACAAACUAAUACCUAUUUCUUUGUUUUUUUUUUCUGGAGAAUGUUUAUGCUGUCUUUGAGGUUUUAGGUGAUGGAACUAGGUCGUAGUAAAACAGAAAACACUUUGAGUCUUGUGUUUAAAGCUGCCUCCUGGCUCAGUCUGCAUAGGCAGUGGGGUUAAUUAGGAAACCUACUUUACUGAUGUGUUUCAAAUGAUGAAAUAAAAAAUUAACAGACAGCCCUUUCACGCCAGCGGGAAACCAUGGCAGAUAAACGAGGAGAACACCCUGUCCUGGUUACAAGCGCUCUCAGAAAAUACUGUAUCUGGCUGCUCCCAUGGCAUAACAAGGAACACAAGUACUACAGCACUAAUGUUGUGAUCAAAGUGGAUUGUGUUCCCUCUGACAUACACUCCUUUAAAACUGCCUUGUGAUAACUUUUCUAAAAGUUUUUUUCUAUAUACUAGAGAAGAGGCCAAUAUACUUCAAAAGCCGUAAAAGUAGCAAAGCAUAACUAAAGGUGGUCCCGAGAUAGAAGUUUAAAAGUGAUAUAAAAAUUCUGCCUUUAUCUGCAGGAUAUUUAAAGCCACAAUCAAGCAUGUCUUUCUAAAAUAUCUGGAAGGUUUCCACAUUUGUUAUAAAAUGAUAUAUAGUCAGGGCCCGUUAGUUCAGAUUCAUCAGUGUGACAGGAGAAGAGUUAAAAAAAGCAAAGAUAAAGGAGACGUUACAGGAAGAUGCACUUUAGUGCUGCUGUGCUGAAAUUUCAUUAAACUUAUGAAGGCAUAGUAAAAAGCUGAUUGCAGGAGGCAAGUACUUCCACUGACUUUCAGAAAGGAUUGCUUGAGGGAGGGUUAUUGUGGUGUUGAUCUAAUAAACUGUGUGAUCGCAGUCAAUUAAAGGUAAUGGCAUUAUUGAUUAUGUUGACAUCAUCUAGAAGACCUUAUAAUGGAGUUGGUUUCUGAGCUCUAAUCAACACUGGUACAUGGGCACUUGGGAUUCUCUUCUUAAAAGCGUGAUUUUGAGAAAUUAAUAUCAAGCAGACAAGUUGAAUGAAAGUCGCACCAGGAUACCCAGAUGUGUCACAGUAAGUAAAUGUGAUGGCAUAGUUUAAAAACGGCAGGCUUCCAUGUUCUGUCAUUCGGUAAAGGGCUAGGAGUAUACCCGGGUUUAUCAGCACCUAUUCAUAUAGAAGGCUUGAACUAAAACAAAGAUAUGGGCUAUAAAACCAAAAUGAUGAGCUGUAAGACACUACAAUACACCAGAGAGCCGAGGGGAACUGCAGAGCUGAUGAUAAUGCCCUUUGGGUUUGCCACCGAGGGCGACGCCUUUGUCAUUGAAUAUAAAAAAAAAAAAAAAUUGAUCAGUGCAGCUUUAAGAUGUUGAGUUUAACUAAAAUGGGCAUUGAACAGCUCUACUGGUGCAAAGGUGCAGGAACCAAGAGUCUUACUGGCUCAAGACGGAGUGACUCGUGUCUGUGAGGAGUUGAUAGGGCUGUUGAUCAAUACCACAGUCUCCACCAUUAUGUGAAGACCUGCUGAGCCUUCUGGCUUCCUUGUUAAGGGUUUUAUUAAGAUGUGUUUUUACUUCCAGGCAUUUCCUCUGACUAUAUAGAAAUAAAACCCCACAUGAAUUGGAUUUCCAAGACCCCUCUGUCAGAUAGGUUCAGCUCAGUCAUAUAAAAUGAUGUUUCAAGUGAGCAACAGCUACAGUUUCUUGUGCAAAUGCCAAUACCUCUUGGUCUCAAGUCAUAAAAGGAAAGAAAAUAGCAAAACCUUAUGUGAAGUAUUCUACUGACAAUUGGAGGGUUGUGUGAUGUGCAGUGCUUUCAAAAGAUUUGGUGACAUUCACUGUACUAAUUACUUAUCAUUUGUAGACUACUAGCUAUCUGGACAACCUGAUCAUUUAUUCACUCUUCUGAUAUCUUUGGGCACCUUUCAUUCAUUUCAUUUUUCGGUCCAGUCCUCCAACAGGUGACUUUUGUGGGGACCUUUAAAUGCAUCAGCCCCUGUUUUGUCCCCCCCAC